ACGACCAUACCUACUGGAGAACUCGGGAUCCCGUCCGCUCUCCCAUAGAUAAGCCAGUGAGGGCCAGAUUAGUAGUUGGGUCGGUGACGACCAGCGAAUCCCUGGUGUUGUAUGUU
rnacentral:rRNA from 1 species